GAUCCUGGCUCGGGAUGAACGCUAGCUACGGGCUUAACACAUGCAAGUCGAGGGGCAGCAUGGUCUUAGCUUGCUAAGGCCGAUGGCGACCGGCGCACGGGUGAGUAACGCGUAUCCAACCUGCUUUACACUCUUGGACAGCCUUCUGAAAGGGAGAUUAAUACAAGAUGUUAUCAUGAGUAAGCAUUUUCACAUGAUUAAAGGUUUACCGGUGUAAGAUGGGGAUGCGUUCCAUUAGA
rnacentral:rRNA from 1 species